rnacentral:tRNA from 1 species
AGGGGUAUAGCUCAGUUGGUAGAGCGACGGUCUCCAAAACCGUAGGUCGUGGGUUCGAGCCCUACUACCCCUGCCA